rnacentral:rRNA from 1 species
GACGAACGCUGGCGGCGCGCUUAACACAUGCAAGUCGAACGGAAAGGCCCUGCUUUUGUGGGGUGCUCGAGUGGCGAACGGGGGAGUAACACGUGAGUAACCUGCCCUUGACUUUGGGAUAACUUCAGGAAACUGGGGCUAAUACCGGAUAGGAGCUCCUGCUGCAUGGUGGGGGUUGGAAAGUUUCGGCGGUUGGGGAUGGACUCGCGGCUUAUCAGCUUGUUGGUGGGGUAGGGGCUUACCAAGGCUUUGACGGGUAGCCGGCCGGAGAGGGUGACCGGCCACCUUGGGCCUGCGAUACGGCCCAGACUCCUACGGGAGGCAGCAGUGGGGAAUAUUGCACAAUGGGCGCAAGCCUGAUGAAGCAACGCCGCGUGCGGGAUGACGGCCUUCGGGUUGUAAACCGCUUUCGCCUGUGACGAAGCGUGAGUGACGGUAAUGGGUAAAGAAGCACCGGCUAACUACGUG